rnacentral:ncRNA from 1 species
GAAAUCAGCCCGAAAAGUGUCCGUUCUGGACGCCUGCUCGAAAGAGAUAGGGCUGGUUUCAUUU